rnacentral:rRNA from 1 species
CACAUAGUUAGCCGGUGCUUCUUCUUUAGGUACCGUCACUUUCGCUUCUUCCCUACUGAAAGAGGUUUACAAUCCGAAGACCUUCAUCCCUCACGCGGCGUCGCUGGGUCAGGCUUUCCGCCCAUUGCCCAAUAUUCCCUA